UCUAAGGCCACUGCCACCCUGAACACGCCCGAUCUCGUCUGAUCUCAGAAGCUAAGCAGGGUCGGGCAUGGUUAGUACUUGGAUGGGAGACCAUCUUGGAAGACCAGGUGCUGUAGGAG
rnacentral:rRNA from 1 species